rnacentral:hammerhead_ribozyme from 1 species
AUCUAGCUGACGAGUCCCAAAUAGGACGGAAAUCGCUUUCUGGAU